AUUGAACGCUGGCGGCAUGCUUUACACAUGCAAGUCGAACGGUAACAGGCCGCAAGGUGCUGACGAGUGGCGAACGGGUGAGUAAUGCAUCGGAACGUGCCCAGUCGUGGGGGAUAACGCAGCGAAAGCUGUGCUAAUACCGCAUACGAUCUAUGGAUGAAAGCGGGGGACCGUAAGGCCUCGCGCGAUUGGAGCGGCCGAUGUCAGAUUAGGUAGUUGGUGGGGUAAAGGCCCACCAAGCCAACGAUCUGUAGCUGGUCUGAGAGGACGACCAGCCACACUGGGACUGAGACACGGCCCAGACGCCUAGGGGAGGCAGCAGUGGGGAAUUUUGGACAAUGGGCGCAAGCCUGAUCCAGCAAUGCCGCGUGCAGGAAGAAGGCCUUCGGGUUGUAAACUGCUUUUGUACGGAACGAAACGGUCUGGGUUAAUACCCUGGGCUAAUGACGGUACCGUAAGAAUAAGCACCGGCUAACUACGUGCCAGCAGCCGCGGUAAGAC
rnacentral:rRNA from 1 species